GACGAACCACACAAACGUUAUUCGGAAUUACUGGGCUUAAAGGGUGCGUAGGCGGCGCGGAAAGUAGGGUGUGAAAUCCCUCGGCUCAACCGAGGAAUUGCGCUCUAAACUACCGUGCUCGAGGGAGAUAGAGGUGAGCGGAACUUAGGGUGGAGCGGUGAAAUGCGUUGAUAUCCUAAGGAACACCGGUGGCGAAAGCGGCUCACUGGAUCUCUUCUGACGCUGAGGCACGAAAGCUAGGGUAGCGAACGGG
rnacentral:rRNA from 1 species